rnacentral:rRNA from 1 species
AUUGAACGCUGGCGGCAUGCCUAACACAUGCAAGUCGAGCGGAGGAGGGGAGCUUUCUCCUGGAGGCAGAGUCGGACGGGGGAGUAAAGCCUAGGAAUCUGCCUGGUAGUAGGGGAGAACGUCUGGAAACGGGCGCUAAUAAUGCAUACGGACAGCGGUAGUAAGAGGGGGAUCGUCGGACAUCACGCUAUGAGAUGAUCCUAGGUCGAAUUACGUAGUUGGUGGGGGAAGGGGCGCCCAAGGCGACGAUCCGCAACUGGUCUGAGAGGAUGAUCAGUCCCACUGGACCUGAGACACGGUCCAGACUCCUCCGGGAGGCCGCAGUGGGGAAUAUUGGACAAUGGGCGAAAGCCUGCUCCAGCCCUGCCGGGUGUGUGAAGAAGGUCUUCGGAUUGUAAAGCACUUUGAGUUGGGAGGAAGGGCAGUAAGUUAAUACCUUGCUGUUUUGACGUUACCAACAGAAUAAGCACCGGCUAACUUCGUG